GAAAGUCCCGCAAGGGAUGAGUACAGUGGCGACCGGNGUGAGUAACACGUGGACAACCUGCCACCGAGUGGGGGAUAACCGAGGGAAACUUCGGCUAAUACCGCAUGCGCCCCGGUGCUAAGCCGGGGGAAAGAUUUAUCGCAGAGGGAGGGGCCCGCGUCGGAUUAGGUAGUUGGUGGGGUAACGGCCUACCAAGCCUGUGAUCCGUAGCUGGUCUGAGAGGAUGAUCAGCCACACUGGGACUGAGACACGGCCCAGACUCCUACGGGAGGCAGCAGUGGGGAAUAUUGGACAAUGGGCGCAAGCCUGAUCCAGCAAUGCCGCGUGAGUGAUGAAGGCCUUAGGGUUGUAAAGCUCUUUCGGCGGGGACGAUGAUGACGGUACCCGCAGAAGAAGCCCCGGCUAACUUCGUG
rnacentral:rRNA from 1 species